GACGAACGCUGGCGGUGUGCUUAACACAUGCAAGUCGAACGGCAACGCACUGAGUUUGUGGUCUUACGGAGUGCCGGACGCGUACGUAUCAGGAGUGUAACCGACUCUACUUUUUCGGGUAAGUUAAGGUAAGUGAGCUUACUCUAGUACAGGAUCCGACCUUGGGUUGAGGGCGGUGGAUAGUCUGGGCGGUCGGGGAUGGAUGAGCGGAUGUCGAGCUAGUUGGUGGGCGAGUGGCAGACCAAGGAUUUGACGGGUAGCCGGCCUGAGAGGGUGACCGGCCACAUUGGGACUGAGAUACGGACCAGACUCCUACGGGGGGCAGCAGGGGGAAAUAUUGCACAAUGGGAGGAAGCCUGAUGAAGCAACGCCGCGUGCGGGAUGACGGCCUUCGGGUUGUAAACCGCUUUCGCCUGUGACGAAGCGUGAGUGACGGUAAUGGGUAAAGAAGCACCGGCUAACUACGUG
rnacentral:rRNA from 1 species